GAUGAGAACGUAGCGAAAUGCGAUAAGUAAUGUGAAUUGCAGAAUUCAGUGAAUCAUCGAAUCUUUGAACGCACAUUGCGCCCGCCAGUAUUCUGGCGGGCAUGCCUGUUCGAGCGUCAUUUCAACCAUCAAGCCCCAGGCUUGUGUUGGGGACCUGCGGCUGCCGCAGGCCCCGAAAACCAGUGGCGGGCUCGCUGUCACACCGGGCGUAGUAGAUUUUAUCUCGCUCAGGGCGUGCUGCGGGUUCCGGCCGUUAAAAAGCCUUUUUUACCCAAGGUUGACCUCGGAUCAGGUAGGAAGACCCGCUGAACUUAAGCAUAUCAAUAAGCGGAGGA
rnacentral:misc_RNA from 1 species